GAGAGAGAGAGAGUAAUCAGAGUGGGGCGGAAAUGUGUUAUGUAGAGUCAUGGGAAGCUGAGGACACACACACACACACACACACACACACACACACACACACACACACACUAAAACAAGCUAUUAAAACACCGCCUCUCUGGUUUAUAGCGAGUCGUAACCUUUGACCCUAAAACCUUAAUUCUCUUGACGCCACAGAAAGUGUUGUUUGUGAAUGGGGAAACUUGUCAAUUUUUCCCUUUUCUCUCUCUCUCUCUCUCUCUCUCUCUCUCUCUCUCUCUCUCUCUCUCUCUCUCUCUCUCUCUCUCUCUCUCUCUCUCUCUCUCUCUUAUCUCUGUCUUUCUCUCUCCCUCCCUCUCUCUCCCUUCAAACUUUUCCCCCCCUCUUUGUCUCUGUCUCUCCCUUUCCCUCCCUCUACCCUCCUUUUCCCCUCCUCUUUCCCUCCUUCCCUUCUAUUCUAAAACACAUUAAUGAGAUAAAAAAUACAAACACACACACAAACACAAACUCCCUUCUCAAAACAACAACCCGCGACGUUCCUUUUAAGAAUAGAAAAAAAACACAACACGAACGAUCUUCUUUUGUUUUCCUUGUCUUUUUAUUUUACGUUGAAGUUUCUUAAUGGCGGUGGCGAGUGAGUGAGUGACUGACUGACUGACUGAAGUGAGUGAGGGAAGUAUCCGAGUUGAAUAUUGUGUGUGUGUGAGUGUGAGUGAGUGAGUGAGUGAGUGUUUGAGUGAGUGAGUGACGUGACUGAGAUGAAUCGUGUGUGUGCGUGUGAGAGUGAUUGAGUGGGUGAAGUUAAGUAUCUGAGGCGAAUUUUGUGAGUAGGUGUGAGUGUUUGAGUGAGUGUGUGUUUGUGAGUGAGUGUGUGAGUGGGCGUGGCUCUACGUAAAUCCCCCUCCAUCCCCCUUCCCUCGUCCCCUCCCAGCCAAGUAAAGGUGAACAUCGCAUGGCGCACAGAACACCAAGAAACAAAGAAACGAGAGAGAAAGAACGAAAGAAGGGAAAGGAAACUAUAUCAAAGAAAGGAGAAGAAUAUCUAUAUCUUGGUGUGUGUGUGUGUGUGUGUGUGUGUGUGUGUGUGUGUGUGUGUGUGUGUGUGUGUGUGUGUGUGUGUGAUUCAAUAGAGUGGCAGGCAAGUGUUGUAUCUUUAUUUAUUGAAGGAAAGGAAAAGAAAGAAAGAAAGAAAGAAGGAAAAAGAAGGAGGACAAGUGGGAUGGACGUCAGAGAAAAAGAGAGAAGAGAAAAAGGGAAAAGGAAAUAAAGGAAAGGAGAAGAAAGAAAGGAAAAGCAAUGAAAUUAAUGUAAAGAAAGAAAAGAGAAAGAAAAGGAAGGACAAAUAGGAUGGAAGUCAGAAAAAAGAGAAGAAAAGAAAUAAAUAAAAAACGAAAAACAAAUUAAAGUAAAGAAAAAAAAGAAGGAAAAGAAUGGGAGACAGAAGAAAAGAUAGGAAAAGAAAAGAAAAAACAAUAAAAGAAAUAAAAAAGAAAAACAAAUUAAAGUAAAGAAAAAAGAAAGAAGAGAACAGGAAACAAGAAAAUAUAGGAAAAGAAAUUAAAAGAAAAAAACAAUAAAAAGAAAUAAAAAAGAAAUGGAAGAGAAAGAGAAAAAGACGAAAAAGAGGAAGGUCCGCUGAUAAAGGUCGAGGAUUAUAACAGUGUACAAUAGUUUUUCAUUUCUUUCUCUUUUUUCCAUAUGUAUCUCGCAGUCCCCCGUCGACUCUAAAAACUACUAACUCAACCCACGUUCCGUUUUCUCUUUUGUCUAUCGUGAAGUGUCAUUAUUUAUCUAUCUGUAUCUUCUAAUGUAUUUAUUUAUAUAUGUACCUAUUUUUCCACACUCCAAAUUCUCACAACAAAAAUAUGGUAUACCUCGUUUCCUAUUUUUCUACUUCAAUAUUUGUUUUCCUAUUCCUAUGACGAAAGGAUUGGUUAGAGAGGCAUUCUAUAUUCUCUACGACAAAUUGUAUACUUCAUUUCAUUUCCUAUUUUCCUACUUCAAUAUUUGCUAUGACGAAAGGAUUGUUUAGAGAGAGAUCCUAUAUUCUCUACGACAAAUUGUAUACUUCAUUUCAUUUCCUAUUUUCCUACUUCAAUAUUUGCUAUGACGAAAGGAUUGGUUAGACAGACAUUCUAUAUUCUCUACGACAAAUUGUAUAGUUCGUUUCUUUUCCUAUUUUUCUACUUCAAUAUUUGCUUUUCUAUUCCUAUGACGAAAGGAUUGUUUAGACAGACAUUCUAUAUUCUCUACGACAAAUUGUAUAGUUCGUUUCAUUUCCUGUUUUUCUGCUUCAAUAUUUGCUUUCCUAUUCCUAUGACGAAAGGAUUGUUUAGAGAGACAUUCUAUAUUCUCUACGACUAAUUGUAUAGUUCGUUUCUCUUACUGUUUUUUUUCUACUGCUUCAUUUCUUGUUUAUUUGUGUAUCUGUGUAUAUUUCUUCUUUAUGUAUUUAUUCGUUAACCUGUUCAAACAUCUAAUUUUUCUCGAUAUUUGGUUCUUCGUCUCUCUGCUUAUUCUUCCACUCAAUUGUUCACUUAUUUAUGCAACAGAAGCUUAAUAUUUAUCUAUCUGUAUAUUUACCUAAUUUUUCCACCCUCCAAAUAUCUCACAAAAACUGCCAUACUUCGUUUUAUCCCUAUUUUUUCUACUUAAACAUCUACUUAUAUAUCCCAAUUCAUCUAUUUAUCUCUCUCCAUAUAUUUAUCUAUUGUUCAAACCUACAAAUAAUGACAAGAAACGGUCUCUCAGUUACUCAUGGACUCAUCUACUUAAAUCAUCUACUCAUAUAUCUUCAUCUACUUAUCUAUUUAUUUAUCUAUUUAUUGUGUGUUAGUUGUAGGGCCAAAGGUGAUAAAAGUGAUUCAUUAACUUA